CAUACAUUAUGUAUAUUUUAGUCAUUUGCUUUCUCUCAGUAGUUGAGCAAUAAAAUUUACUAAAUGUCUAUAAUUGCUUUCAAAACUCACAAUAAUUCUAAAAAUAAAAUUUACUAAACACUUACAUGAUUCUCUUCAUAGUUGAUUGUUUUACAACACAACUAACAACAAUUAUUUUAAAAAUUAUAGCAUUCCCAAACUGGUCCUUAGAAUAAUUAAAGUUGUUAUCAUUUGUCUUCGUAUUUUAUAUUUUUAAUCUUCUAUUAUUUAAUUAUUGGAUUAGAAUUCUUUUUUGUUCUGUGUAAAUACAAUUAUGCAAUUGGCAAUUAAUAAUUGAAAAUUUAAUUAAGAAGUAAAUCUAAUCAUAUAUGAAUAAAAACACAGUUGUUUUAAAAAUCUUUUAAAACUCAGAUAAAUUCAAAUCACGAGAAAAUCCAUGUCCUUUACUAUAACUGCUGAAACAAUCACUAGUAGGAUCUAGUACUAGCUAAAAUACUUGCUUUAUAUUAAAGAUGCUCCCCGUAGCUGGACCUUUAAAUUAACCCUAAACAAACUCCUACUGCUAACCAUAGUAAUUCUUUAUUUUUAAGCAGUCUUUAACCUAGCUGGCUUCUAUAGCUGCUUCCAUAGGCUACCAAAUGAACAAGAGCAAUUAAGCUAUAUUUGCCUUUGAUGUGAUGUUGAGAAUGAAUAAGUCAGAGAUGUUAAAUAUAUUGCUGAAUUGCUCUGUUCUUUGUUAUUAUUGUUUUUCGCUUUCUUGUCACUUUGAUGAUUCAAUUCAUUGUUAUUGGAAGAAAUAUAUUGCUGCCUCAUAACAUUGAGCUGUAGGAUUCUAUUUGGCUACAAAUUUCUGUGAUUUUCAAAUUCUGAAUUAUUCAAUUUUGUUGGUUGCUGCGGAGUUUGCGUCUGACGGGUAAUUAUCAACUACGAGUUUUUAAUUUGUUUUAGAACUUAUUUUAUUCAACACUAAAAAACAUAUUAGCAACGAAAGAAGAUCACAUCAGGAGACACAGAUGUGAUCGAUAUAAAACGAUGGGUUUUAUUUUGAGAGGAAGCCAUGGGCAUUACAUGCUGAAAAUAGUUGGUGGUGAACGGUAGUAAUGCGUAGAGAGAGUACAGAUGAGAGAGGAAAAAAAUAGUAUUUUUAUAAUUUUUACAAAGUAAUUUUGGAAAUUAAAGAUUUAAUAGAAAAGUGUGGGAUGAAGAGAUAAUUGGGGGAUCAAAUAUCACCACUCUUGUUUGAAAAGGUAAGAGCGUGGGUAAAAGACAAACUAAGGUCAUGUUUAGUAUUGAGGUACUGUAACUUUUAAGCUGUAAAUGCUGUAGAAAAAAUUUAUAAUUAUAAAAUAAAAAUUAAUAAUGUGUAGUAAACAUAGCUCUUAAAUAAUAAUUUGAUAAAAAUAUUAAAGAUAUUAUAAGUUUUUAUCAUAAAAGUGGAUGAUUAAAUGAACUUAGCUUCCAAACUACCGCAGUUAGUAUUUACCAAACACUUUAGUAUUGUACCUUUUAAGGUAGAGUUGCCUAACCUUAAUACCAAAUAGAGCCUAAUUUUUGGGUUCCUAACUCCUCUAAAAUUAAAUGGAAAUGGACUAAAUAAAAAUCACUUGAUGAUGAGAUCAAAACAGCAUGUGUUUUGAGUAGCACUAGUUUCUUAAGAAAGUUUUUUUCAGAUCGAUUAAAUACUCUAUAAAGCACUUCAUUAGAACUAUUUUCCUUGUUUCUUCCCCUUGACAAUAUGAUUGAAAUAUCUAGCUGCUUGAUUGUCUCUUGUUCAUCUUUUCUAUGUCUGACUCUGAAUGUAUUGUUCGUCUUUACAGGAUGAUGAUUUACGUAUAGUCCUAUUACUCUCAUGCUGUGCACUUAAAGUAGCAAGCAACUUAAAAUAGUGAUUUAUCGGAACCAUUUUAAACUCAAGUAUAUAAUAAGGUAUUAAAAAUAUAUGGAAUAAGUUGUGAUCUUUAAUUAAAUCAAAUAGUGAGAUGACUGCUGAUUUUACAGGAAAUAGUCUCAUGGCCCUGUCCCAUAGCAGCCCGAAGUCCAACUCAAAAACCAAAGUGGAGAGGCCCGAUAUUGUGCCAUUGCUGUUGCAAACAAAUAAGCUACUGCUCUUUGUUUUUGCUGCUGUUAAUACUCUCUGUUUUAGCUUUUCUUUGGCUUAUGAUUUUUGUUUCUUUAUGGCUUCUUGGCUGCUUGACUUCUUUAUAACUUCUUGCUUUACUUCUUUAUGGCUUCUUGUUUGACGACUUCUUUUUUUCCCCCCUGUUCUCUUCAUCCUUAGCCUUUUAUAGUGAUUCUAAAUGGAGGUGUCAACCUUCUCAAAAAAAAUAAAAAAUAAAAAAUGGAGGUGUCAACCAAUAGUCCAAUACAGGUGUCAAGCAACAAUAGCUAUAUAUAUUACACCUGUCCAGCAACUAGUUUUAAUUGAUAUUAUCCAUUUCACUACUAGCCUCACUUAUUUUAUUCAGCAACAGCCAUUACCACUUGUACUGAAGAAAAUUUUGAGAUAAGUUAGGGCUGACUUGUUGACGAUGAAAACGUAGCUUGAUCCUUGAUGUUUAAUCUUAAAAGCUAAUUAUAAGUACUUCAAAUUCCACCUCUAAAAAAUUUAAUACCAUCUACUUUAUUUUACAAUCACAAUUUCCCACACCAAAAUCUUAAUAAUUUAAUAUAUUAAUUUCAAUGGUCAAGACGAAGGCUGACUUAGAUUUUUUAAUUGAAAAAAAAUAAAUAGAGAACCUAUCCAUUAUUUUAAUUAUUCUAUUCGCUCUCUCUAAAAUUCGUUACUCCUUCAGAUCCAACGAACCUGCAACUACCGCAACUUUGUCCUUUUCUAGUGGAAUAAAUAAAUCUCAUGGAAAAGUUGUUCAAUGGCUAGUGUUGUGUUUAUCGUAGUCGUAACUCUUCGUUGCAAAAUCAUAACAGUCAAAAGUUUUAAAAUAUUUACAUAUAUAAGUUUAUAUUAUUUUAUAGUUUCGACCUUUGAUCCAUUAACCUAAUUCAAUUAUAAACAUGAGUGAUAGUAAAAGGAUAAUUAUGUAAUCUUACAUAAAAUUUUAUAAAAAUAUGAAAAAAUGAUGUGUAAACACUACUUUUUUGUAU
rnacentral:lncRNA from 1 species